rnacentral:lncRNA from 1 species
UGGAGUAUAAGAGCAAAUCCAACCCUUAUCUCUCAACUCUCAUUAUGUAUAAUUGACGUGGCAUAGAGAUUAUGAAGAUAGAAAGCUGAUUUAGCAACUCCAACACAACCUUCUUAUUAUCUAUAACUUCAGGGUUUUGUAUAUUCACUAGAAAACCCCAUUCAGUAAAAAGAGUCCAGUUAUUUCACAAUGUAAUGUAAUUUCAGUGUUCCACACACCUCCUCCCCAUUUUCUUUAGUUCCAGAAACCAAAGUCCAAGGUAUGUUAAAACUCAACUAUCAUUUACAAAUGCUGAAUUUUAAUUAAGAUAUUUUAUUUGUCAAUUUAGAGAUGAUGAAAAUAGAUUGAGAUGGGCUUAAUUUUCUGUCAAACAUAUUAGAUUUUGAAUGUUUGUGUGGUGUUUUCUUGUUUGCUGUAUAUUAUAUUGGAUUGUCUACUAUGUGUUUGAUCUAUUGUUGUAAAGAGCUUUCAAUGUUGCCAUGGAUUUUUGAGUGUUGUCAUGUGUUUGUCUCAAUUUUGAUAUUUUAAUUACUGGUUAUGUUAGUUGAAUCAAAUACAUGUAUAUGCUUGUGCUUCUUCUAUUGUGAAGAGUCUAAAACAGUCUAGUUGAGCUCUCACGUAUCUUAUUUUUUAGGACAAUCAGAAUUUGCAGUGACUUGAUAAAUUGUGUUUGUAGAAAAUGGAUUCAUCUUCAAUUCAAUUGCUUAAUAAUAGGGUAUAUAAUGAAGGGAUGAGUUCAGAAUCGCCUCCAUUAUCACAAGCACACGAAGCAACAAAUAAAAUGAAAAAGGCAAAGUGCCGGUCAAAAAAUCUCACGAUUCAACAAUAUAUGUUACUUAUAUCCGCGUGGGAAGAUGUGAGUUUGGACCCAAUACAAGGCGAUAAUCAAACAUAACAAACAUAUUGGAGUAGAAUAACAAGCUACUUCAACGAGUACAAAACAUUCACAAGUGAAUGAACUCAAGCUCUCUAUGUAAUCGUUGGUCAUCGAUACAAUUUUAUGUGAGCAAAUAGACAG